UACGUAGGGGGCAAGCGUUGUCCGGAUUUAUUGGGCGUAAAGCGCUCGCAGGUGGUUCAUUGCGUCGUGCGUGAAAGACCCCGGCUCAACUGGGGAGGGUCGUGCGAAACGGGUGAACUAGAGGCCAGUAGGGGGAUGUGGAAUUCCGGGUGUAGUGGUGGAAUGCGUAGAGAUCCGGAGGAACACCAGCGGCGAAGGCGGCAUCCUGGACCGACACUGACGCUGAGGAGCGAAAGCCAGGGGAGCAAACAGG
rnacentral:rRNA from 1 species